rnacentral:rRNA from 1 species
CCAAUAGCGUAUAUUAAAGUUGUUGCAGUUAGAAAGCUCGUAGUUGAAUUUCGGGAUCAAUAUGUUGGUCGUGCCUUGGUACGUACUAGUUUAUUGGUUUCUUCCUUCUGACGAACCAUGAUGUCAUUAAUUUGGUGUCUUGGGAAAUCAGGACUGUUACUUUGAAAAAAUUAGAGUGUUUAAAGCAGGCUCACGCUUGAAUACAUUAGCAUGGAAUAAUGAAAUAGGACGUUUGAUUCUAUUUUGUUGGUUUCUAGGAUCGACGUAAUGAUUAAUAGGGAUAGUUGGGGGCAUUAGUAUUCAAUUGUCAGAGGUGAAAUUCUUGGAUUUAUUGAAGACUAACUACUGCGAAAGCAUUUGCCAAGGAUGUUUUCAUUAAUCAAGAACGAAAGUUAGGGGAUCGAAGACGAUCAGAUACCGUCGUAGUCUUAACCAUAAACUAUGCCGACUAGGGAUCGGAUGAUGUUAAUUUUUUAAUGACUCAUUCGGCGCCUUACG